AUUCCAGAACACUGCUACGAUUGUCUGAAUGUUUGUUCCUCAAAUAGGAUUCUAGAAUGCUCCUGCUGUGGUCUGAAUGUUUGUCCCUCACAUAGGAUUCCUGAACACUGCUAUGAGGUUCUGAGUGUUUAUACCUCAGAUAGGAUUCCAAAAUACUCUUGCUAUUUUCUGAGAGUUUGUCCCUCCCAUAGGAUUCCAGAACAUUGCUGCUGGGGUCUGAAUGUUUGUCCCUCACAUAGGAUUCCAGAACACUGCUAGGAUUGUCUGAAUGUUUGUGUCUCACACAGGAUUCCAUAAUACUCCUGCUGUGUUCUGAAUAUUUGUACGUCACAUAGGAUUCCUGAACACUACUACGAGAUUCUGAAUGUUUGUUGCUCACAUAGGAUUCCAAAAUGUCCCUGCUGUGUUCUGAGUGUUUGUCCCUCACAUAGGGUCACUGCUGCUGGGUUCUCAGUGUUUCUCACUCACAUAGAAUUCCAGAACACUGCAAAGAGGUUCUGAAUGUUUUUCUGUAACAUAGUAUUCCAGAACACUCUCGCUGUUUUUUGAAUGUUUGUCCCUCACAUAGGAUUCCAGAACACUUCUGCUGGUGUCUGAAAGUUUGUCCCUCACACAGGAUUCCAGAACACUGCUACGAGGGUCUGAAUGUUUUUCCCUCACAAAGGGUUCCAGAACAAAGCUGUUGGAGUCAUAAUGUUUGUCUGUCACACAGGAUUCUAGAACACUGCUACGAGGUUAUGAAUGUUUGUUCCUCAAAGGGUUUUUCAGAACACUCCUGUUGUUGUCUGAAUGUGUGUCCCUCACACAGGAUUCCAGAACACUGCUACGAGGUUCUGAAUGUUUCUCCCUUACAUAGAAUUCCAGAACACUGCUACCAAUGUCUGAAUGUUUGUCUCUCACAUAGGAUUCCAGAACACUGCUACGAUUGUCUGAAAGUUUGUCGCUCACAUAGGAUUCCAGAACACUGCUACGAUUGUCUGAAAGUUUGUCCCUCACAUAGGAUUCCAGAACGCUGCUAUGAGGGUCUGAAUGUUUGUCCCUCAUGCAGAGUACCAGAACACUGCUUCGAGGGUCUGAAUGAUUGUCCCUCACAUAGGAUUCCAGAACACGGCUGCUGGGGUCUCAAUGUUUGUGCCACACAUAGGAUUCCAGAAUACGGCUGCUGGGGUCCACUUGUAAGUCCGUCACAAUGGAUUCCAGAACACAGCUGCUGGGUUCUGAGUGUUUCUCCCUCACUUGGAAUUUCAGAACACUGAUAUGAGGGUCUGAAAGUUUUUCUGUUACUUAGGACUCCAGGGCUUUCCCUCUGUUGUUUGAAUGUUUGUCCCUCACAGAGGAUUCCAGAAAAAUGCUACGAUUGUAUGAAUGUUUGUCCCCCACAUAUGAUUAAAGAACACUGCGAAGAGGGUCUGAAUGUUUGUCUGAAACAUAGGUUUCCCAAACA
rnacentral:lncRNA from 1 species